UGGGGAAUAUUGGACAAUGGGGGAAACCCUGAUCCAGCAAUGCCGCGUGGGUGAAGAAGGCCUUCGGGUUGUAAAGCCCUUUAGGCAGGGAAGAAGGUAUUACGGUGAUAACCCGUAGUGCUUGACGGUACCUGCAGAAUAAGCACCGGCUAACUCUGUGCCAGCAGCCGCGGUAAUACAGAGGGUGCAAGCGUUAAUCGGAUUUACUGGGCGUAAAGGGCGCGUAGGUGGUAAAGCAAGUAAGAUGUGAAAGCCCUGGGCUUAACCUGGGAAGUGCAUCUUAAACUGCUUAACUAGAGUAUGGUAGAGGGUAGUGGAAUUUCCGGUGUAGCGGUGAAAUGCGUAGAGAUCGGAAGGAACGCCAGUGGUGAAGACGACUACCUGGACCAAUACUGACACUGAGGCGCGAGAGCGUGGGGAGCGAACAG
rnacentral:rRNA from 1 species